CUCAUGAGCGGGACGAUUGUUCGAAAGGAU
rnacentral:piRNA from 1 species